CCCGGCGUAGCUCAAGUGGGCAGAGCACCCGACUCUUAAUCGGAAGCGUGCAGGAUCGUGGCCUGCCGCCGGGA
rfam:Scytonema tolypothrichoides VB-61278 scaffold_91, whole genome shotgun sequence.